UAAGACAGAGGGUGCAAACGUUGUUCGGAAUUACUGGGCGUAAAGCGAGUGUAGGCGGUCUGAAAAGUCGGGUGUGAAAGCCCUGGGCUCAACCCAGGAAGUGCACUCGAAACUGCCAGGCUAGAGUAUCGGAGAGGUUGGUGGAAUUCUCGGUGUAGAGGUGAAAUUCGUAGAUAUCGAGAGGAACACCGGUGGCGAAGGCGGCCAACUGGACGAAUACUGACGCUGAGACUCGAAAGCGUGGGGAGCAAACAGGAUUAGAUACCCUGGUAGUCCACGCCGUAAACGAUGGGUGCUAGGUGUCGCGGGCUUUGACUCCCGCGGUGCCGUAGCUAACGCAUUAAGCACCCCGCCUGGGAAGUACGGCCGCAAGGCUA
rnacentral:rRNA from 1 species